rnacentral:rRNA from 1 species
AUUGAACGCUGGCGGCAUGCCUUACACAUGCAAGUCGAUCGGUAACGCGGGGGCAACCCUGGCGACGAGAGGCGGACGGGUGAGGAACGCUUGGGAAUCUGCCUAUCAGCGGGGGACAACACGGGGAAACUCGUGCUAAUACCGCAUACGCUCUACGGAGGAAAGCCGGGGACCGCAAGGCCUGGCACUGAUAGAUGAGCCCAAGCCGGAUUAGCUAGUUGGCGGGGUAACGGCCCACCAAGGCGACGAUCCGUAGCUGGUCUGAGAGGACGAUCAGCCACAAUGGAACUGAGACACGGUCCAGACUCCUACGGGAGGCAGCAGUGGGGAAUAUUGGACAAUGGGGGAAACCCUGAUCCAGCGACGCCGCGUGGGUGAGAAGGCCUGCGGGUUGUAAAGCCCUUUCGGUAGGGACGAAAGCUCUCGACCUAACACGUCGGGAGGUUGACUUAACCUACAGAAGAAGCACCGGCUAACUCUGUGCCAGCAGCCGCAGUAACAC